AAAAGAUUGCCGCCGGGCAAUAAAGUUAGCAUUCAGAUAUCAUGUCGUUAGGCCAUUGAAGACAUGAGGUUUGAGUGUUUUUUUCA
rnacentral:ncRNA from 1 species